CAUUAUUAAUAAUUUAUUGUUCAAGUUUUGUUACUCUUCUCUUCUUCUAUUUCUUGUCUUGUUAUUAUUUUCUUUUCUUCAUUUUUCUCUCCUUCUCCCCUUCUUCUUCCUCUUUUUUCCUUUUCUUCUUCUUCUUCUUCUCUUAAUCUCCUUCUCCUCCUUCCUUUUCCUUUUCUUCUUCUUCUCUUCAUCUCCUUCUCCUC
rnacentral:lncRNA from 1 species